rnacentral:snoRNA from 1 species
AUCCCCCGUGCCUCGCUCGGCCAGCUGCGUGUCUUCAGGGACACUUUGAUCUGCUGGUCUUGAGCUGGACGUGUUUCCCCUCGCGGGAAGCUGGUGGGGGGAUACUGAACUUCAGUGACGACUUUUUGAGUACAAGGGCGCCCGGGAUACUUCGUAUCCCGCACAAUGGUGUCUUCAAGAUUUAAUACUUCAUUUUAAAUUGUAUUGUAAUUAGUACGUUCAUACAUGU